AGUGAACGCUUGCGGUAGGCCUAACACAUGCAAGUCGAACGGCAGCACAGUAAGAGCUUGCUCUUACGGGUGGCGAGUGGCGGACGGGUGAGGAAUACAUCGGAAUCUACUUUUUCGUGGGUGAUAACGUAGGGAAACUUACGCUAAUACCGCAUACUUCCUACGGGUGAAAGCAGGGGAUCUUCGGACCUUGCGCGAUUGAAUGAGCCGAUGUCGGAUUAGCUAGUUGGCGGGGUAAAGGCCCACCAAGGCGACGAUCCGUAGCUGGUCUGAGAGGAUGAUCAGCCACACUGGAACUGAGACACGGUCCAGACUCCUACGGGAGGCAGCAGUGGGGAAUAUUGGACAAUGGGCGAAAGCCUGAUGCAGCCAUACCGCGUGAGUGAAGGAGGCCUUCGGGUUGUAAAGCCCUUUUGUUGGGAAAGAAAAGCAGCAGGUUAAUACCCCGCUGUUCUGACGGUACCCAAAGAAUAAGCACCGGCUAACUUCGUG
rnacentral:rRNA from 1 species